CUUGCCCUUUCGGAAACAUCCGAUAAAAUUGGAACGACAUGGAAAAGAUUAGUAUGACCCAUGCGCAAGGAUGACAUGCACAAAGAGAAAUGGUAAUAAACGUUAUU
rnacentral:snRNA from 1 species